rnacentral:tRNA from 1 species
GCCAUGGUAGUGUAGUCGGUUAGCAUACCUCUUAGAAAGUCAGCCUGUAGGUUUAUAGCUGUGAGAGAGGAGACUGGGGUUCAAAUCCCCAUCGAGGCA